AGUUCUAGAAAAACACAGAAGUCACAAGGUGCUAGGUCCAGAUUUUAGACACGAUGAGGAACGAGAAAGAGAGACCAGCCUCAUCCUUUUCCCCUCCAUCAAAUAAUAAGCGAGGUUUGGCUUGUGCAGUCAAACAGAGAGGUAUCUUGGCUAGCAGCAGCUGAGGGGAAAGCAAGAAUCGGCGUGGAUCCAAAAGUCAUGGGCACCUCCAUUUCCAAAUUUAAAUGGGCUCCACUAACUACUGUCACAACCUGAAAUCAUUGCAAAGCGAAUUAGGAGCUGAACAAGAACUGAAGGCUCUUCCUCGAAAUCCAAAACCUAGAAUCUAAGGAUGAAACACCAAUGAACUAAUAGCUAUGGAUUGACAAGGAAAAUCUUUAGACCUCAGAAACCACUCACUUUUAAGACAUAAUUUAUGAUUAUGAUGGAACAAGUUGUGAGAUUGUGGAAGGGCAUCUGCGGAACAGUGAGAGUGUGCGUCCAUGUCUUAGAGUUAUUAGCACCCACUGCUUCAAAGUCAACUUUAACAAUGCUCGUGUUGCUGGAAAUCUCUGCACUUUGGGAACCUCUGGCUUUGUAGGUAAUAGUCUGAAGCACAAUAGAAAAAAUGAGGCACUUUGCUGAAAUCAGAGGUAGCUGUUCAGGAUUUUCUUAAGAAACUCAACGGUCAGCCAAGGGGUCUACCCCUGGACCAUAGAUCAACAGCCUGCCUUUCAUGGGCAUAGAAAUAGGGGUUUGCAUAAUCAAGAGAUGAAUGUCAUCUACUAUAUUCUGCGAGAAAUCUGAUGGUUACCAUUUUAUAGUCCUCCUUGGUUUAUUAAUACGGAGCUCACUGGGGUUGAAGGGGGUCAAGAGUCGUGAAAUCAAACGAGGGUUGAUAAUCUUCCAGAUUACGCCAUCUCGGAUCAAGCAAAAACUUGGAAAGCCUACAAAAUCUUCGGAAAAUGCUAGGAAGAAAAAUAAAAGCAGUAUCCUUCCACAAAAUUAUGAAUUUGUGAUCAAUCUAGAAUAAUUAAUCAUUGGAUAAAUAUGAUACUAUACUAUCUGAUGAAUAAGCAUUUGUAUUUUCAUUCAUACUUCACAAAGGGUAAAAAAAUUAAAGUUAUAACUUUCCUUGGAAGAAGCUAAACCCCGAUCUAGCAAUUCUUGGAAGAUAAUUAACCCCUGGAAUCAAAACACCCAACUAACUUUCAUUGACCCAUCAUAACCUGGAGAGGCGUAGAAAAGUUUAGUUUGAUGUAAAUGUUGUUCACAAACAAUCUGACCAUGAUAUUAAGGAUGAUGUAUGAAGCACGGUGGUAAAUUGUACAUAAAAUUCUUUUUUAAGCAA